rnacentral:rRNA from 1 species
GACGAACGCUGGCGGCGUGCUUAACACAUGCAAGUCGAACGGAAAGGCCCGGAUUUUUUGCGGUGUUCGAGUGACGAACGGGGGAGUAACACGUGAGUAUCCUGCCCUUCACUUUGGGAGAUCUUCACGAAACUGAGGCUACUACGGCAUAGGAUAUCCUGUUUCACGGUGGGGGUUGGAAAGUUUCGGCGGUUGGGUUUGGACGCGCGUCUUAUCAGCUUGUUGGUUGGCUAGUGGAUUACCAAGGUUUUGACUGGUAGCCUGCAUGAGAGGGUGGCCGGCCACCAUGCGCCUGCGAUAGGGACCAGUCUCGAAUGGGAGGCAGUAGUGGGGAGUAUUGCACAAUGAGCGGACGCGAGAUACGGCAGCGCCGCGUGCGGGAUGACCGCCUUCGGGUUGUAAACCGCUUUCGGAUGUGACGAAGCGUGAGUGACGGUAAUGGGUAAAGAAGCACCGGCUAACUACGUG